GCGAUCAUACCGGCACUAAUGCACCGGAUCCCAUCAGAACUCCGAAGUUAAGCGUGCUUGGGCGAGAGCUGUACUAGGAUGGGUGACCCCCUGGGAUGUCCUCGUGUUGCACCU
rnacentral:rRNA from 1 species